AUUAAUAUCCUGUAACUAACACUGACCUUGAUCAUAGGAGGGCAAGGCUGGCUUAGUAGAGACCUGAUAAGAUGUCACACAGGGCAUGCAGCAGUGGCAACUGGAGGAGCAGCCUGUUGUCUCCAGGACCACUGAGCAGCAUUUGGCUCCAUAUGGCUGUUUUUCAAGCUUGAUGGUACAGACACGUGGCACACGAGGGCAGACAGAUGGGGUGAGCAACGGCCAUAAUGUUUAAGGCACACUACAUGUCACAGCUCCUGAAUCUGCCUUCCAGGACACAAGGUUAAGAAGGAUUACUCAAUCAUCAAAACCCCGCUAGCUCAGCUUAUGAGACAGAAUUCUCCAACUCUCAGGGGAAGUAGAUACAUGUCUUCUGGGAUGCUUCAGGUCCAAUUUUUGUUUCUCUUGAUAGUUC
rnacentral:lncRNA from 1 species